rnacentral:lncRNA from 1 species
GCCGCUCUCCUGACUCCUAGCCCAGAGGAGUCAGCCAGGCGCCCAGGCCAAGGCACUGGGUAUUUUGAGGCUCCAGCAUCAUCAGCAGGGUCUAGGAGGCCUCAGCCAUAUUGUAUUUCAUGUGACCCAGGCACUGGGCCAGCAAUGCAGCCACGGGGAGCCAACCUUGUGCCCUUGCCACUGACCUGGGCCCCAUCUCCUUUUCUGCUGGUCUCCAGAGCCAGACCAGGGCAGAGGCAUUGUGGGAAGGGCCCCUGCCAGGCCCAACAGGCACAAGAAGCAGGAGGCAAGAGGGCAACUUUAGCUGCCACCAAAGUGCCCAAGAAUGGGUUUUGGGCCCCUCAGCAACUCCAUCCUCUGCCCAUUCCACUGUAAAUAUCCUGAACAGUGUUUGUCUCUGGACAUCGUAUAGGGCAUAGGGAACCAACCAUCUGGGUUUGCCCUGGACGCUCCUGGUUUUAGCACUGAAAAUCCCAUGUCCCAUGAAACUCCUCGGUCCUGUGCAAGCAGGAAGGGUUGUUGGCAAUCUCCUACCAUCCUCCAGUUGUGACUCCCAUUUGAAGAUGCAGAAACUGAGGCCCAGGAAAGGCAAGUCCCUUGCCCAGGGUCACGGAGCUGGAAGGUGGGCUGCUGCCAUAGCAUAGCCAAGGAGUGGUGUAGGUCUGCACCCGGGAUCCGAACCUGUGAAACUGGGCUGCUGAAGGGGCGUGCAUUGAACAUUACCACUACGCCAUGGGGCUGGCCUUCACCUUGAAUUUUGAGUGUAGUCAUUGCCUUGCUUUUAAAAUAUAGUUUUAUCAUGUUUGCAUGUAUCCCUAAACAACGUAUGAUAUAGUUUUUGAGCUUUAUAAAAAUAGUAUUCUACUGUAUAUGGUUCUUUGGGAUGCUUUUUUUCACUCAACACUGUUUCUCCAGGAGAAGUAGAGAAGAAUGUAGAUUUGUGGGGAGGCAAAACUGGGCUGGAAUCCAGAUUGCAGCUACUCCAGCUGUGUGAUUUCAUGCAAAUUUC